CACACAUGAACCACCAUCAGAAGAUCCCCUGGAGGAACGAUACCAGCUCAGGUGCAGCACACUCUGAACACUAAGUGAGUGCUUUAUGAUUUCAGGAUCCAGGCACAUCUCUCCAGGCUUAUCCUUGAGCAGUGUCCUCUUCAGGGAGAUCGACGUUUACCUGGAAUUCCUCUCCAAGGGAUCACGGAAGCGGCUGCACAGAGAUCCCAUAGCUCACCUCCAAGCAGAACUGGGCAGACUGGGAGAAAGACGGGCACAAUGGAAACCCCUAAGAGAAGCGAGUGGGAAGAACCAAGUGUUGCUUGCUGUGGUGGCAGUGGCUCCCUGCUCCGCCUUGGCAGCACAUACAUGGCAGAGUGACCGUGCCUCAGGCCACCUCCACUCCCAAAACGAAGAAUGCACUGUCUGGUCCUCCUGUGAGGUUACCCCAGGUGAACCCCAGUGCCUGUGCAGGAAAACCGCGGGCAGCCUGCGGUGUUUCCCCUGCGCAGCCACUGCCAAGCUCUGCCAGCACCCGGCCCUCCAGCACCACUCCGCAGACCAGCAGAAAACCCUCCUUCCUGAUGAAAGAAAACGGGCUUUUUUCCAAA